rnacentral:rRNA from 1 species
CAGAUGCGGGGUGUACGGCCGGGGUAAAGCGUGGGGGGGGGGCGUGGGACGGGUGGUGUGGGCGUAAAGAGCGCGGAGGCGGUGCGUUAAGUCGGGGGUGAAACGUCCAGGCUCAACCGGGAGAGGCCACCCGAUGCUGUCGGGACUGGAGUCCGGUAGGGGAGCGUGGAAUUCCUGGGGUAGCGGUGAAAUGCGCAGAUAUCAGGAGGAACACCAGCGGCGAAGGCGGCGCUCUGGGCCGGUACUGACGCUGAGGAGCGAAAGCGUGGGUAGCAAACAGGAUUAGAUACCCGGGUAGUC